rnacentral:lncRNA from 1 species
GCAAUUUUCAGAUGUUAAAUAUCAGAUUUUUAAUAAAAACAUUAAAUGUUUCCUUCCAAACAUAUAUGAAAGUGAAAACCAAGUGAAAACUGCAAUGGAAAUAACCACCUUUUCAGGGCGAACAUCAGGAUGAACAAAUUAAGACCCGGCGUCUGUAUGCGGCCAUUCCCAGUCCAAACCAGACAUUCACAGGGGCCCCGAGCUGCGCAGCGGUCAGCACGGCUGCGUCUUUGUGAAACGCCACGACGCCCAGGGACCAGACGGCACAAACUGGCCAGCAUCGGUCGGAGGGCUCAAGCAUGUCUAGGUGACGUCCUGCCCCAGGCAGUCGCUCCAGUGUGAUGAGACGGGGCGACCCAUCCCUCACACAACCCGGAUGGUGUUGCACCGCCUCUGAUGGACUCCCGGCAAUAACCAGUGUGGUACGACCAGGGCCAGUCUUUCCCAAAUGUUAUGGGAGUAUAUAGUAUAUGUACUGAAUGAGGU